rnacentral:lncRNA from 1 species
UUGAUGGGUUUGCGAUUCUAGAUUUGAUGGGUUUGCGAGCUCUUUAAGAGUUGUAGAGUUGCGAUUCUGAGAUGAUGGAUUGAUGGAUUGUAUUAGAACGUUAGCUGAAAGAGAUCACUAUUGCGUGAUGGGUUUGCGAUUCUAGAUAUGGGUUUGUCUCUGAAAUAAACGCUAAGCUUUGUUAUCAUCUUGUUUAUGCAGGCUUGUCACUCAGGCUUUGGAACCAAACGCUAAACUCACUGCUCCCACUCUAUCCUCUCUAAAUCAAGGUAGUCACUCAUCACUCUCUCUCACUGUUUAGCUUCUCUUUGCUCAUUUGUAUAUAGUGACACGAGUAAAUGUGUUGUCUCAUUUAGAUGUGUUGUCUCAUUUACGAGUAAAUGUGUUGUCUCUAAUGGUUUUCUUUAAUCUCUUUUGUUCAGAUGGAUGAUGAAACUUUGAACCUAUAUGAUGAUGAUGAUGAUGACUAUUUGAGUGGUAAUGAGAUGAUGGAUCUGAGUGAAGAUGGUCAUGAUUCUGUACAAGAUGAUUCUACAAAUGCGGCUGGGAAUAGAGUAAGGCGGAGACGUAAGCGGAGGCAUUCAAAGUGUUGGAAGCAUUUUGAAAUUGUAGGAGAUAAAUUGCCUGAUGGGACUACUAAAGUUAUCUGCAAGCAUUGUGAGUAUUCCUAUUUCAUAGAUCUAAGCAAUGGGACUAAUACUUUACUGCGUCAUAGUAGAGUUUGUUCAAAGAAUCCUGGAAGCACACCUAGAAGUAGGAAGUUUGAUAUGAUGGUCUUCCGUGAGAUGAUUGCUGGUGCUAUUGUUGAGCACAAUCUUGCAUACUCAUUUGUUGAGUUUAGAAGAAUUCGAGAAGCUUUUGAGUAUGCGAAUCCUAGUAUUGAGUUUUGGUGUAGAAACACUGCUGUGUCUGAUGUUCGUAAGAUAUAUGAGAAUGAGAAAGCUGCUCUUAAGAAGGUUUUGAGUGAAGUUCCUGGGAGGAUCUGUUUUACUACGGAUUUGUGGAGGGCAAUCACUGUGGAGGGGUAUUUAUGUCUGACAGCUCAUUACGUUGAUAAUUGGAAGCUAAAGGCGAAGAUAUUGUCAUUCUGCGCUUUUCCCCCACCUCAUACUGGUUAUAGUAUUGCUAUGAAGGUGAUGGAGUUAGUGAAAGAAUGGGGAUUAGAGAAGAAAGUGUUUACAGUGACUGUCGACAAUGCUUCUUCAAACGACAAUAUGCAAGGGGUUCUAAAGACACAACUUCGCAGAGCUUUGGUGUGUAAUGGCGAGUUUCUACAUGUAAGAUGCGCAGCACACAUUCUGAACCUGAUUGUUCAAGAUGGGUUGGCGGUGAUUAGUGAUGCCUUAGAGAAAAUCAGGGAAAGCGUGAAGUUUGUAAAGUCUUCAGAGUCGAGAGAGCAAAUGUUUCAGACCUGUGUUGAAACUGUUGGGAGCAAGAAAGAAGCUGGUCUUGUUUUGGAUGUGGCAACGAGGUGGAAUUCAACCUUUAAGAUGUUGUCUAGAGCUCUUCCAUUGAGAGAAGCGUUGCGUAAUCUCUCUGAAGUAGAUCCGAGUUACAAGUGCUUUCCAUCAGAAUUGGAGUGGUCUAGAGGAGCACUCAUCUGUAAGUUUUUGGCUCCAUUUGCUGAGAUGACAAACUUGGUAUCUGGCUCAUCAUAUCCGACUGCGAACUUAUAUUUCAUGCAAGUCUGGAAAAUAGAGUGUUGGCUGAGAGCGAAUGAGACUUCAGAUGAUGAGACAAUUUGUCAAUUGGUGGAAACAAUGAAGCUGAAAUUUGACAAGUACUGGGAAGACUACAGUGAUAUACUUUCUAUUGCUGCGGUGUUGGAUCCAAGGUUGAAGUUCGCUUGCUUGGAGUAUUGUUAUGACACCUUAGAUCCAUUAACAAGCAAGGCGAAAGUCGAUCAUAUCCGAAAGAAGAUUAAAAAGUUGUAUGGAGUAUACAAGAAGGAUCCUAACAGCACUACUGCGAGCCCUUCAGAAGCCACAUUGGUUAACAGUAUACCAGCUGGAUAUGGGGUAAGCUCCACCUACUCUUUCUUCUCUCAGUCAUUCUUACCGUAAGAAGAUAGUUUUAUAAUACAUGAGUUUUUGUACUUGGUGAAUUGGUGUGUUCUUAAUGUUUUUAUGUUCAUGAUGCAGGACUUUUAUGCAUUCUUUUCUCAGAAUGCGGGAACAGGAAAAUCAGCUUUAGAUGUGUACUUGGCUGAACCGGUUUUAGAUAUGGCUGCCUUUAAGACUCUUGAUGUCUUGAGAUAUUGGAAAAACAAUGCAACACGGUUUAAAGAGCUGUCCCGCAUGGCGUGUGAUGUUCUUUCAAUUCCCAUUACAACCGUGUCUUCUGAGUCAUCAUUCAGUGCCGGAAGUCGUGUUCUUAGCAAGUAUAGGAGCCGACUUCUUCCAUCAAAUGUACAAGCUCUUAUUUGUGGAAGAAAUUGGCUGCGUGGAUUUGAAGUGACAAGUAAGUUUUCUAAUUUUAUACUUAGCUUGUGUACUUUUUGAUAUUCAGCUUAAGACUCUAGAUGUCUUUUACUUGGUUGUUGUUUGAUUGUUGCUUGCAUUUUUACUUGCGGAUUGACUUGUUCACUUGUUAGGUGAUUCUGACGAAGAAGAAGAAGAAGAAGAGAAGGAAGGUGAAGAGAAGGAAGGUGAAGAAGAAGGUGGAAGAAAGAAGAGAAGUAAGUGAAGACAUGGAGUUUAAGUUUAAGACUUUAUCUUUUGGCUUUUGUAAGAUAUGGAUUUUAAGUUUAAGACUUUAAGUAUCUUUUGUUAAGUACCUUUUGUAAGAUAUGGAGUUUAAGUUUAAAACUUGAAGUAUCUUUUGUUAAAACAUGAAGUUUAAGUAAGUUCAAAAUGUUAUAUUUGACAUUUAGAAUCUGUACAUCUUUUAAAUUGAAAAUUAGAUUUUUUACAUUAAGUGGACAUCUGGACUUCAUGGACAGUCCAAUUGGACAUGGUCCUAUUUGGUAAUGGUCCUAUUUGGUAAUGGAAUUAUUUGGGCUUCGGCCAAAAAUGCCCAAAAAAAAAAGUCCAUCUGGACAUACUCAAAUCCGUCCGGACGGCCCAUUUGACACCCCUAGCUAUGGAUGGAGACCUUUUCACCGUUAGAUUUAGCCCAUAUUUUGACACAAGUUAGAGCUUUGAGUUAGCUUUCCAAUUCCACCGGUUUGAGGUCAAUCAGCAUCCUUUAGCAGAGGUUAUGCCCGUUUUACUGAAGAGUACUCAGUCUGCCUCGCGAGAGGAAGCUGUCGAGGAAAUAAAGGACUGUCGAUCGAUGACACAACAUUGGUGUCGAUCGACAGUGAUGCCAUAAUGUGGGCCAAGCAUAUUUCAAGACCGUUUGAAGCCUAGAAGCCACACCAAGUUACCAAAAUACCCAUGGACGACCAGAAACCCUAUUUAUGUAUUUCUAAGCAAUUGUUGACGGCUACAAGACGUGAAGUUUGUAAAGUCUUCAGAGUCGAGAGAGCAAAUGUUUCAGACCUGUGUUGAAACUGUUGGGAGCAAGAAAGAAGCUGGUCUUGUUUUGGAUGUGGCAACGAGGUGGAAUUCAACCUUUAAGAUGUUGUCUAGAGCUCUUCCAUUGAGAGAA